UACGUAGGGGGCAAGCGUUGUCCGGAUUUAUUGGGCGUAAAGCGCGCGUAGGCGGCGCGGUAUGUCGUGCGUGAAAUCUCCCGGCUUAACUGGGAGGGGCCGUGCGAAACUGCCGGGCUUGAGGUCGGAAGGGGAAAGUGGAAUUCCGGGUGUAGUGGUGGAAUACGUAGAUAUCCGGAGGAACACCAGCGGCGAAGGCGGCUUUCUGGUCCGAUACUGACGCUGAGGUGUGAAAGCGUGGGGAGCGAUCCGG
rnacentral:rRNA from 1 species